rnacentral:rRNA from 1 species
AUUGAACGCUGGCGGCAGGCCUAACACAUGCAAGUCGAACGGAAGAACAGAGCUUGCUUGUGGGUUCAGCGGCGGACGGGUGAGUGAUACAUGGGAACAUGCCUGGUAAUGUUGGAUAACGGGAUGAAGCAGGGGCUAAUACCGCAUACGCCCUGAGGGCGAAAGUGGGGGAGCUUCGGACCUUCCGCUAUCAGAUGAGUCGAUGUCGGAUUAGCUAGUUGGUGGGGUAAAGGCCUACCAAGGCGACGAUCCGUAGCUGGUCUGAGAGGAUGAUCAGCCACACUGGAACUGAGACACGGUCCAGACUCCUACGGGAGGCAGCAGUGGGGAAUAUUGGACAAUGGGCGCAAGCCUGAUCCAGCCAUGCCGCGUGAGUGAAGAAGGCCUUCGGGUUGUAAAGCCCUUUUGUUGGGGAAGAAAAGCAGCAGGUUAAUACCUCGCUGUUCUGACGGUACCCAAAGAAUAAGCACCGGCUAACUUCGUG